CCUACGGGGGGCUGCAGUAAGGAAUAUUGGUCAAUGGACGAAAGUCUGAACCAGCCAUCCCGCGUGCAGGAUGAAAGCCCUAUGGGUUGUAAACUGCUUUUAGCAGAGAAGAAAAGCUUUCAUUAAUGAGAGUCUGACGGUAUCUGCAGAAUAAGCACCGGCUAACUCCGUGCCAGCAGCCGCGGUAAUACGGAGGGUGCGAGCGUUAUCCGGAAUUACGGGGUUUUAAGGGUGCUUAGACGUCAGAGUUGAAAUCUUGUCGAUUAACGAGAAAAUUGCCAAUGAUACUGGUACUCUUGAAGUGGGUUGAGGUUAGCGGAAUGUGACAUGUAGCGGUGAAAUGCAUAGAUAUGUCAUGGAACACCAAUUGCGAAGGCAGCUAACUGGGCCUUGAUUGACGCUGAGGCACGAAAGCGUGGGUAGCGAACAGGAUUAGAUACCCUUGUAGUC
rnacentral:rRNA from 1 species